rnacentral:tRNA from 1 species
UUCCUGGUGGCUUAGAUGGUAAAGCUUCUGCCCACAAUGCAGGAGACCUGGGUUCAAUCCCAGGGUUGGAAA